rnacentral:rRNA from 1 species
UGGUGGAGUGAUUUGUCUGGUUAAUUCCGUUAACGAACGAGACCUCGACCUGCUAAAUAGUUCGGCGAAUCUUUUGAUUCGUACGUUUGACUUCUUAGAGGGACGUAUCGGUGGUUCAGCCGAUGGAAGUUCGAGGCAAUAACA